rnacentral:tRNA from 1 species
GCCUCUUUAGCACAGUGGUAGCUGCGUUCCUUUCGUAUCUUACGUAACCAUCGAUUCUCGGUGAUUCACGAUCGGUCGUACACAUCGUACUAGGGAAAGGUCGGCGGUUCGACUCCGUCAAGGGGCA